rnacentral:lncRNA from 1 species
UCACUUGGAGCAAAGAUGGUCAAGCCAUUGUUUGUGUUGCCAAGCUGGGAGUUUAGAUUGCUAUCCAAUUGAGUGGAUUUCAAAAGGCGGAUGAAGGUCUUGAAGUGGCCAGCCUUUUUGAGUAUUUUGAUGACAUUAGUGGGGCCGGGUGGUGCAGGAGCGGGCGCAGGUGAUUGAGCUGUGGUUGUGGUUAAAUUGAUGGAGAGAAUAAGCAGAUAUAAUGAGAUCAAGAGGUGUUGUAAUCGUUCCAUCUUUUCAAUAUUGUUUCCAAGUAGUGGUGACCUGUUUUGUUUGCAAAAUGUAAAUGCGGGAGUGCUGCUCUGCACAAGUGUUAGAUUUACAAAGAGAGGCCUUUUAUAAUGGAGAGGACCGAGGAGAAAACGAAGUUAGGUGUAACCUGCAAUGUGAUAUUAGUAACAAAAAUUAGGUGUUUGGUGCCUCACCUUUCACGAAAAAGGGAAAAAGAAAAUCAAUGGAGAGGGAUAUAACAGCUACUUGUUUGCUUAGAGUUGAAGGGAAAUAGGGUUUUGUCAAAUCUAUAAAAGAGUAUUUGUAAG